ACGAAGGUCCCAAGCGUUGUUCGGAAUCACUGGGCGUAAAGCGCGCGUAGGCGGCUUUGCAAGUCAGAGGUGAAAGCCCGGGGCUCAACCCCGGAAUUGCCUUUGAGACUGCAUCGCUAGAAUUGUGGAGAGGUAAGUGGAAUUCCGAGUGUAGAGGUGAAAUUCGUAGAUAUUCGGAAGAACACCAGUGGCGAAGGCGACUUACUGGACACAUAUUGACGCUGAGGUGCGAAAGCGUGGGGAGCAAACAGGA
rnacentral:rRNA from 1 species